AAAAGUGCUAAUCUUGUUAGGCAAGAAUUGCUUCGAGAAUCGUUCAUCCAGUGACCAAAAAAGCCGAAUAUCAGGAAUACCGUACAAAAUCAUUGCGAGACGUUCAAGACCAAUUCCAAAAGCCCAACCAAUGUAGUUAUUUAAUCCUGCACCUUUAAGCAGCCUAUCCUGGACGACCCCACAUCCUAAUAUUUCAAGCCAUUUUCCUUUCCAGUCAAUUUCUAACUGAAACGAGGGCUUGGUAAAGGGGAAACUGUCGUACGUCCAACGAUACCGAACCUGUUCAGCUCCGGAAGAAAUAGAAGGAGCAAGU